UACGUAGGGUGCGAGCGUUGUCCGGAAUUACUGGGCGUAAAGAGUUCGUAGGCGGUUUGUCGCGUCGUUCGUGAAAACUUGGGGCUUAACUCCAAGCGUGCGGGCGAUACGGGCAGACUUGAGUACUACAGGGGAGACUGGAAUUCCUGAUGUAGCGGUGAAAUGCGCAGAUAUCAGGAGGAACACCGGUGGCGAAGGCGGGUCUCUGGGCUGGUACUGACGCUGAGGAGCGAAAGCGUGGGUAGCAAACAGG
rnacentral:rRNA from 1 species